rnacentral:rRNA from 1 species
AGGAAAUAGAUACCCUGGUAGUCCCAGCCGUAAACGAUGCUCGCUAGGUGUCAGGCAUGGCGCGACCGUGUCUGGUGCCGCAGGGAAGCCGUGAAGCGAGCCACCUGGGAAGUACGGCCGCAAGGCUGAAACUUAAAGGAAUUGGCGGGGGAGCACAACAACGGGUGGAGCCUGCGGUUUAAUUGGACUCAACGCCGGACAACUCACCGGGGGCGACAGCAAUAUGUAGGCCAGGCUGAAGACCUUGCCUGAAUCGCUGAGAGGAGGUGCAUGGCCGUCGCCAGUUCAUACUGUGAAGCAUCCUGUUAAGUCAGGCAACGAGCGAGACCCGUGCCCACUGUUACCAGCAUAUUCUCCGGAAUGAUGGGUACUCUGUGGGGACCGCCGAUGUUAAAUCGGAGGAAGGUGCGGGCCACGGUAGGUCAGUAUGCCCCGAAUCUCCCGGGCUACACGCGGGCUACAAUGGAUGGGACAAUGGUCCCUACCCUGAAAAGGGCUGGUAAUCUCACAAACCCAUUCGUAGUUCGGAUCGAGGG